UAGGGAAUCUUCGGCAAUGGGGGGAACCCUGACCGAGCAACGCCGCGUGAGUGAAGAAGGUUUUCGGAUCGUAAAGCUCUGUUGUUAAGGAAGAACGAGUGUGAGAAUGGAAAGUUCAUGCUGUGACGGUACUUAACCAGAAAGGGACGGCUAACUACGUGCCAGCAGCCGCGGUAAUACGUAGGUCCCGAGCGUUGUCCGGAUUUAUUGGGCGUAAAGCGAGCGCAGGCGGUUAGAAAAGUCUGAAGUGAAAGGCAGUGGCUCAACCAUUGUAGGCUUUGGAAACUGUUUAACUUGAGUGCAGAAGGGGAGAGUGGAAUUCCAUGUGUAGCGGUGAAAUGCGUAGAUAUAUGGAGGAACACCGGUGGCGAAAGCGGCUCUCUGGUCUGUAACUGACGCUGAGGCUCGAAAGCGUGGGGAGCGAACAGGAUUAGAUACCCUGGUAGUCCACGCCGUAAACGAUGAGUGCUAGGUGUUAGGUCCUUUCCGGGACUUAGUGCCGCAGCUAACGCAUUAAGCACUCCGCCUGGGGAGUACGACCGCAAGGUUG
rnacentral:rRNA from 1 species